UACGAAGGGGACUAGCGUUGUUCGGAAUCACUGGGCGUAAAGCGCACGUAGGCGGAUGUGUCAGUCAGGGGUGAAAUCCCGGGGCUCAACCUCGGAACUGCCUUUGAUACAGCACGUCUCGAGUCCGGAAGAGGAGAGUGGAAUUCCUGGUGUAGCGGUGAAAUGCGCAGAUAUCAGGAAGAACACCAAUGGCGAAGGCAGCUCUCUGGGACGGUACUGACGCUGAGACGCGAAAGCGUGGGGAGCGAACAGG
rnacentral:rRNA from 1 species